rnacentral:piRNA from 1 species
AGACUUUGAGUAGCUCCUGGUGGACUC